UGGUGAUGAGGUGGCAGUAGGUUUUUAGUUGAUGAUAGAGGUUCUCUGUGUCUAUUUCUUUGCCAAUUUUGAUCUGACUAUAGGAUGUGGUGCCCCUAGCUUGCAGCUGGCUUGCAAGCAUUACCAAACCUAAACAAAUACAAAUGCUUACGUGAAGAUAUACAUACAUUCAGAAAUCAAAGGGAGGGGCUGGUGGCAGGGGCAAGCAGCUGACAAACCCACAACCUACAGCCACAAUCAAGCAACAACUGCCAAACUAAAUUGAUGAUCGCACAGGGUCUUGGAAAAUUGGGAAAGGCAGAGGACAAAAGGGGGAACUGUGCAUUUGAACGAACAUCUAAAGGUUAGAUCAAUCUACAGCUUCAAAAAGAUAGAAGAUGAAAUUAGAUUUGUUGCCAGCUAUUUUUGCCCACAUCUGAGAUUGUGGUGAUGAGGUGGCAGUAGGUUUUUAGUUGAUGAUAGAGGUUCUCUGUGUCUAUUUCUUUGCCAAUUUUGAUCUGACUAUAGGAUGUGGUGCCCCUAGCUUGCAGCUGGCUUGCAAGAGUCAACAAUGGCUCGUUGUAACUAGCUGGUGGUGGUCAGCCAGUGAGCCCUUUAGGAAGCCAAUUUGAAUCUUCAGGUCCCGAAUUGGGUUGAUUGUGG
rnacentral:lncRNA from 1 species